rnacentral:ncRNA from 1 species
CUCGCGAGCCCUCCCGGCUCCCGGACGAGCGGCGCCGUACCCGGAACGCGACAAGACGGCGACCU